UACGAAGGGGGCUAGCGUUGUUCGGAAUUACUGGGCGUAGAGCGCACGUAGGCGGAUCGAUCAGUCAGGGGUGAAAUCCCAGGGCUCAACCCUGGAACUGCCUUUGAUACUGUCGAUCUGGAGUAUGGAAGAGGUGAGUGGAAUUCCGAGUGUAGAGGUGAAAUUCGUAGAUAUUCGGAGGAACACCAGUGGCGAAGGCGGCUCACUGGUCCAUUACUGACGCUGAGGUGCGAAAGCGUGGGGAGCAAACAGG
rnacentral:rRNA from 1 species